rnacentral:tRNA from 1 species
CGCGGGGUGGAGCAGCUUGGCAGCUCGUCGGGCUCAUAACCCGAAGGUCGUUGGUUCAAAUCCAGCCCCCGCAACCA